AUCUUUUUGUAGUUCAUGAGAUGAUGAUUGGGUGUUCAUGCACAUGUGUGAGAUUGGCUACUCUCGAACCUUGCUACGAUGUCGGCACAACUUACCAAGUCUGACC
rnacentral:snoRNA from 1 species